rnacentral:rRNA from 1 species
CCUACGGGAGGCAGCAGUGGGGAAUAUUGCGCAAUGGGCGAAAGCCUGACGCAGCGACGCCGCGUGAGGGAUGAAGGUCUUCGGAUCGUAAACCUCUGUCAGCAGGGAAGAACGGUCACUGUGCUAAUCAGCAGUGAAUUGACGGUACCUGCAAAGGAAGCACCGGCUAACUCCGUGCCAGCAGCCGCGGUAAUACGGAGGGUGCGAGCGUUAAUCGGAAUUACUGGGCGUAAAGCGCUCGUAGGCGGUAUGUCAAGUCAAGGGGGAAAUCCCCGCGCUCAACGUGGGAACUGCCUUUGAAACUGGCAAACUGGAGUGUGUGAGAGGAUAGUGGAAUUCCAGGGGUAGGAGUGAAAUCCGUAGAUAUCUGGAGGAACAUCAGUGGCGAAGGCGACUAUCUGGCACAUAACUGACGCGGAGGAGCGAAAGCGUGGGUAGCAAACAGGAUUAGAUACCCUGGUAGUC